UUUGUAACGUGGAUGGCAUUUCAAACGUCCUUGAAGAUGGUUAAUACGUCUGUUCCAAGGCCAUACGAAUUGUCAAAUUUCAUCCAUAGACAACAUAACCUAAACAAUUUCUCAUGCAAAAUGAGCUGCCGAAAUUAGCGCGAAGCAGCUUCAAUAGGUUUG